UAUUGGGCAAUGGCCGAGAGGCUGACCCAGCCAUGCCGCGUGCAGGGAGAAGGCCUUCUGGGUUGUAAACUGCUUUUAUCUGGGAAGAAAACGCUCCUGCGGGGGUAACUGACGGUACCAGAUGAAUAAGCACCGGCUAACUCCGUGCCAGCAGCCGCGGUAAUACGGAGGGUGCAAGCGUUGUCCGGAUUUAUUGGGUUUAAAGGGUGCGUAGGCGGCCCGUUAAGUCAGUGGUGAAAUCCCAGGGCUCAACCCUGGAACUGCCAUUGAUACUGACGGGCUUGAGUUCGGUUAAGGCGGGCGGAACUGGUGGUGUAGCGGUGAAAUGCAUAGAUACCACCAAGAACCCCGAUUGCGUAGGCAGCUCGCUGAGCCGAAACUGACGCUGAGGCACGAAAGCGUGGGGAGCGAAC
rnacentral:rRNA from 1 species